rnacentral:lncRNA from 10 species
CUCAAAUUCUGUUUGAUCAGAAAUGCUGUAGCAUAAUAAAGGGAGCAGAUGAAUGACUGAAGCCCUACAGCUCCACUAAAGAUUAGAGUAAAAUCUGCACUUCAAAAGAUCCUGUAUUCUUGCAAGAGAACAGAGCUCCUGAUCACCUGUGUGCGUCCUUUGAGUGGAUGGCAGCUGCAUCUCUGCAUUACAGCUAGUUAGAAUGAUGAGUCCUUGCUAUGCCUCAAGCACUGUUUCGAGUGUUUGAUGUCUAUUAUCUCACUUCAUCCUCACCAGGACCCCAUCCGAGGAUUUGCGACUUGAGUAGCAUUGACGGUGGUGAUGGGGAGCCUGGCAAGACAGCAGAUGUCUACAGCAAGAGGAGGGAAUGGGAAGCUGCUCUGAUGGCGUAAUCAUCAAGGUUGCUGAUAAAAUGGGUAAGAAAAAGAAACAAAGGUUUGGAAAUAUGAACAAAGGGCUGGGAGGUUAUUACCACACUUUCAGCCAAGAGGCACAUGAAAUGCCGCAGAAAAACUGCCACAUCCUGAGAUGGCUGCAGGGGAGGCUGUGUUUUUAGAGGAAAGUCAAGUUCAGUGGAGCAAGAAGGGGCAUAGAAUAUUCAAAGAAGAGUUUGAGAAUCUGUGAAGUUUUACUGAUGACAAAUUAUGGCUUCCAAAGGGUACAGUGAAAGGGCUUGGGAGGUUAGGGAUGGGUAGAAGGUGAAGUCAGACUAGCUUUAUGAGGAUAAGAAUCCAGGAGAUAAGGGAAG